rnacentral:tRNA from 1 species
GCCGGUGUGGCGGAACUGGCAGACGCGACGGAUUCAAAAUCCGUUUCCCCUUGAAAGGGAGUGCAGGUUCGAUUCCUGUCACCGGCA